rnacentral:piRNA from 1 species
UAGUCGAAGUGUUGGCUUGAACCUCAGAAG